CGGUUGUUGGAAUUGGUAUACAAGCUUGUUUACCAAACAAGUGCCUUAACAGGAUUAUGGGUUCGAAUCCCAUACCGCCCA
rnacentral:tRNA from 1 species